rnacentral:rRNA from 1 species
GACGAACGCUGGCGGCGUGCUUAACACAUGCAAGUCGAACGGAAAGGCCCUGCUUGCAGGGUACUCGAGUGGCGAACGGGUGAGUAACACGUGGGUGAUCUGCCCUGCACUUCGGGAUAAGCCUGGGAAACUGGGUCUAAUACCGGAUAGGAGCCAUUUUUAGUGUGUUGGUUGGAAAGUUUUUUCGGUGUAGGAUGAGCUCGCGGCCUAUCAGCUUGUUGGUGGGGUAAUGGCCUACCAAGGCGGCGACGGGUAGCCGGCCUGAGAGGGUGGACGGCCACAUUGGGACUGAGAUACGGCCCAGACUCCUACGGGAGGCAGCAGUGGGGAAUAUUGCACAAUGGGCGCAAGCCUGAUGCAGCGACGCCGCGUGGGGGAUGACGGCCUUCGGGUUGUAAACUCCCUUCGCUAGGGACGAAGCUUUUUGUGACGGUACCUAGAUAAGAAGCACCGGCUAACUACGUG